CUUAACCUUCGGGAGGGCGCUUACCACUUUGUGAUUCAUGACUGGGGUGAAGUCGUAACAAGGUAACCGUAGGGGAACCUGCGGUUGGAUCAUCUCCUUA
rnacentral:rRNA from 1 species